GAUGAACGCUGGCGGCGUGCCUAAUACAUGCAAGUCGAGCGAACAGAUGAGGCGCUUGCCCCUCUGACGUUAGCGGCGGGCGGGGGAGUAACACGUGGGUAACCUAGCUAUAAGACUGGGAUUAAUUCGGGAAACCGGAAGUUAUACCGGCUAAUCUAUUGAACCGCAUAGUUCAAUAGUUAAAGGCGGUUUUCCUGUCACUUAUAGCUGGAUCCGGGCCGGAUUAGCUAGUUGGUAAGGUAACGGCUUACCUAGGCCACGAUGCGUAGCCGAUCUGAGAGGGUGAUCAGCCACACUGGAACUGAGACACGGUCCAGACUCCUACGGGAGGCAGCAGUAGGGAAUAUUGCGCAAUGGGCGAAAGCCUGACGGAGCCACGCCGCGUGUGUGAAGAAGGCCUUCGGAUUGUAAAACUCUGUUAUUGGGGAAGAAGAAAUGUGUAAUUAACCCUGCACGCAUUGACGGUACCCGAAGAGAAAGCACCGGCUAACUACGUG
rnacentral:rRNA from 1 species